rnacentral:rRNA from 1 species
UAGGGAAUAUUGCAAAAUGGGCGAAAGCCCGAUGCAGCAACGCCGCGUGGGCGAUGAAGGCCUUCGGGUCGUAAAGCCCUUUUUGAGGGGAUGAGGAAGGACAGUGCCCUCAGAAUAAGCCUCGGCUAACUACGUGCCAGCAGCCGCGGUAAAACGUAGGAGGCGAGCGUUAUCCGGAUUUACUGGGCGUAAAGCGCGUGCAGGCGGAUUGGAGAGUUGGAUGUGAAAGCUCCCGGCUUAACUGGGAGAGGUCGUUCAAUACUUCCAGUCUUGAGUGCAGUAGAGGGAAGUGGAAUUCCGGGUGUAGUGGUGAAAUGCGUAGAUAUCCGGAGGAACACCAGUGGCGAAAGCGGCUUCCUGGACUGUAACUGACGCUCAGACGCGAAAGCUAGGGUAGCAAACG